GUUGUAUGGUUAAGUGACUAAGCGUACACGGUGGAUGCCUGGGCAGUCAGAGGCGAUGAAGGACGUACUAACUUGCGAUAAGCGUAGAUGAGGCAGUAAGAGCCACUUGAGUCUACGAUUUCCGAAUGGGGAAACCCAACUGCAUAAGCAGUUAUCUCAAUGUGAAUUCAUAGCAUUGUGAGGCGAACCGGGGGAACUGAAACAUCUAAGUACCCCGAGGAAGAGAAAUCAACCGAGAUUCCGGCAGUAGCGGCGAGCGAAACCGGAUUAGCCCUUAAGCUAAUCUUGCGUUAGGUGAACAUGCUGGAAAGCAUGGCAAUAAAGGGUGAUAGCCCCGUAACCAACAACGCUUUAUCAGUGAAAUCGAGUAGGACGGGACACGUGUUAUCCUGUCUGAAUAUGGGGGGACCAUCCUCCAAGGCUAAAUA
rnacentral:rRNA from 1 species